GCGCAGUUUUGUUUUCCUCGCGCUGCGCAGUGCAAAAUGCAAAGCUAUAGUGAGAGUGAUAGCAUGAGCGGAGAUUAUGACUCCGACUUGGAUGAGCGGCCUACAGAACGACCACGAACGAUAAAGGCGUAUGCCUACGAUCCGUCCGCGUCGUCAAGCGAAACUGACGAUGAAUCGCCGCAGCAGUCCCCGUCCGCGGUGCCGAGGGAGUCUGGACCAGCAACGUGGUGCUGUUGUGGCGACCGAUGCGCCGACAUGCCGACGGCAAGAGAGAGAACAUGCUGCAAAGAGCAAGAUCGAGUGGCGAAAGCCACUGAGCACUACGAGUGCAUUACGAAGUACUUUUUGAUCUUUACUGCCUCAACGAACAUGUGCUCGAGCUAGAGUACAUCAAGCUGCAGUACUACAACCCUCACAGAGUGGGGCAAAGGGACCAACAUGAUAAAUACAAAUACACUGCUUACAGGCAGUUUGUCUGGUGGAUACAAGGAAGACUGGGCCAAGGAAGGAGGGUGGUCAUCCCAAGCUGUGUGGUUCAGAGAUUGAGAGAAGAAUUCCCUUCAAGAAGUGGACAAUACGCCGGUUACUUGGACCCAUGAUUGUCGUCCAGCAAAUAAACACACAGAUGUGAAAUUGUCUUCAAACCAAUUUACUUCACAACUUCAGGCUGGUUGACUGAUUGCACUAGCACCACGGCUUGAUUACAAUCCAUGAUUAAAUCGUUCUCUCCGUGUGGAAACAAGGGCGUCCUUGUCGACAGGCUCAAAGUUGCUAGACAGCGUCGGUGGCACUGUAGUGCUAGCCUGUCGCAUGGCUUCCUUGAAGCAGCUCGUCGCCAUGCACAGCUCAACAGUGCAGUUCAUGAGUUCUUUGAAAUAAUCUGUAAGAAGAAAUUGAGU